CUCCGCCCGGGCGAGUAGUGCAGGUGCCGCUGCGCCGGGGCCUGGGAGGCGCGCGCCGAGCGGAGCGGAGCCGAGGAGGGAUGGAGAGCGGGCCGCCCGGGCUGCAGGAGCACCGGCGCGGGGCGUAGGCGGCGCGAGGCGGGCGCGAGGCGGGCGCUCGGGCGCGAGGCGCGUGCGGGCGCGGGAGCACUUUGCGAUAGGAUGAGGCUCCGGGCUGGCGCGGUAGUACUAUGAUUUGGUAUGUGGCCACUUUCAUAGCAAGUGUGAUCGGCACCCGAGGGCUUGCGGCUCAAGGCGCCCACGGCCUGCGAGAGGAGCCCGAAUUUGUGACGGCAAGAGCUGGGGAGUCCGUGGUCCUGAGAUGCGACGUGAUCCACCCAGUGACGGGACAGCCCCCACCCUAUGUUGUAGAGUGGUUCAAGUUUGGGGUCCCCAUCCCUAUCUUCAUCAAGUUUGGCUACUACCCCCCGCACGUGGACCCUGAGUAUGCAGGGCGGGCCAGUCUUCAUGAUAAGGCAUCUCUGCGGCUGGAACAAGUUCGCUCUGAGGACCAGGGCUGGUACGAGUGCAAAGUGCUCAUGCUGGACCAGCAGUAUGACACCUUCCACAAUGGCAGCUGGGUCCACCUCACCAUCAACGCCCCUCCCACCUUUACAGAAACACCCCCCCAGUACAUCGAAGCCAAGGAGGGUGGUAGUAUCACCAUGACCUGCACAGCUUUUGGGAACCCCAAGCCCAUCGUCACCUGGCUCAAGGAGGGGACGCUCCUCGGUGCUAGUGGGAAAUACCAGGUGAGUGACGGCAGCCUGACAGUGACAUCGGUCAGUCGGGAGGACAGAGGUGCUUACACCUGUCGAGCGUACAGCAUUCAGGGGGAGGCUAUCCACACGACCCACCUGCUUGUCCAAGGGCCCCCGUUCAUCGUCUCCCCUCCUGAGAACAUCACCGUCAACAUCUCCCAGGAUGCUCUGCUCACCUGCCGGGCAGAGGCGUAUCCGGGCAACCUCACCUACACCUGGUACUGGCAGGACGAGAACGUCUACUUUCAGAACGACCUGAAGCUGAGGGUGCGUAUCCUAAUCGACGGGACCCUUAUCAUCUUCCGGGUGAAGCCGGAGGACUCGGGGAAGUACACCUGUGUGCCCAGCAACAGCCUGGGGCGCUCCCCCUCCGCCUCGGCGUACCUGACAGUGCAGUACCCAGCCCGUGUCCUCAACAUGCCCCCUGUAAUUUACGUGCCCGUGGGGAUCCAUGGCUACAUCCGCUGCCCUGUGGACGCAGAACCACCGGCCACCGUGGUCAAGUGGAACAAGGACGGCCGCCCCCUGCAGGUCGAGAAGAACCUGGGUUGGACCCUGAUGGAGGAUGGCUCCAUUCGAAUUGAGGAGGCCACAGAGGAGGCUCUUGGCACUUAUACCUGUGUGCCUUACAACACCCUGGGGACCAUGGGCCAGUCUGCCCCUGCGAGGCUUGUCCUGAAGGACCCCCCAUAUUUUACGGUGCUACCAGGCUGGGAGUACAGGCAGGAGGCCGGCCGGGAGCUGCUCAUCCCCUGCGCAGCCGCAGGGGACCCUUUUCCUAUCAUCACAUGGAGAAAGGUAGGGAAGCCCAGCAGAAGCAAGCACAGUGCCCUGCCCAGUGGGAGCCUGCAGUUCCGCGCCCUGAGUAAGGAGGACCACGGGGAGUGGGAAUGUGUCGCCAGCAACGUGGUCACGAGCAUCACUGCCAGCACCCACCUCACUGUCAUUGGCACCAGCCCCCAUGCCCCGGGCAGUGUCCGGGUCCAGGUCUCCAUGACAACUGCCAACGUGUCCUGGGAACCAGGCUAUGAUGGAGGCUACGAGCAGACAUUCUCAGUUUGGUACGGACCUCUGAUGAAGCGGGCACAGUUUGGGCCCCAUGACUGGCUGUCCUUGCCAGUGCCGCCGGGACCCAGCUGGCUGCUGGUGGACGCCCUGGAGCCUGAGACAGCGUACCAGUUCAGCGUUCUGGCCCAGAACAAGCUGGGAACCAGCGCCUUCAGUGAGGUGGUCACUGUGAGCACUUUAGCAUUCCCUAUUACAACUCCAGAACCCCUGGUGCUGGUCACCCCACCGAGGUGCCUCAUAGCCAAUCGGACUCAGCAGGGUGUGCUCCUGUCCUGGCUUCCGCCUGCCAACCACAGUUAUCCCAUUGACCGCUACGUCAUGGAGUUCCGCGUUGGGGAGCACUGGGAGAUGCUGGAUGACGGCAUCCCCGGCACUGAUGGAGAGUUCUUUGCCAAGGAUCUGUCACAGGACACGUGGUACGAGUUCCGGGUUCUGGCCGUCAUGCAGGAUUUGAUCAGCGAGCCCAGCAACAUCGCCGGCGUCUCCAGCACAGACAUCUUCCCGCAGCCGGACCUGACUGAGGACGGGCUGGCGCGGCCUGUGCUGGCGGGAAUCGUAGCUACCAUCUGCUUCUUGGCAGCUGCCAUCCUGUUCAGCACCCUGGCCGCCUGCUUUGUCAACAAGCAGCGCAAGCGUAAGCUCAAGCGCAAAAAAGACCCUCCGCUCUCCAUCACCCACUGCAGGAAGAGCCUGGAGUCUCCCUUGUCCUCUGGCAAGGUGAGCCCCGAGAGCAUCCGCACGCUCCGGGCGCCAUCAGAGUCCUCGGAUGACCAGGGCCAGCCCGCAGCCAAGAGGAUGCUGAGCCCCACCCGCGAGAAGGAGCUGUCGCUGUACAAGAAGACCAAGCGGGCCAUCAGCAGCAAGAAGUACAGCGUGGCCAAAGCAGAGGCUGAGGCGGAGGCCACCACACCCAUUGAGCUCAUCAGCAGGGGCCCUGAUGGCCGCUUCGUGAUGGACCCUGCAGAGAUGGAGCCCUCGCUGAAGACCAGACGUAUCGAGGGCUUCCCUUUCGCCGAGGAGACAGACAUGUACCCCGAGUUCCGCCAGUCGGACGAGGAGAACGAGGACCCCCUGGUGCCCACGUCUGUGGCCGCCCUGAAGUCCCAGCUCACGCCUCUGUCAUCCAGCCAGGAGUCUUACCUGCCACCACCAGCAUACAGCCCUCGGUUCCAGCCCCGCGGGCUGGAGGGUCCCGGUGGCCUGGAAGGUCGGCUCCAGGCCACAGGCCAGGCCCGGCCCCCUGCCCCACGGCCCUUCCACCAUGGCCAGUAUUAUGGGUACCUCAGCAGCAGCAGCCCUGGGGAGGUGGAGCCACCCCCGUUCUACGUGCCAGAAGUGGGCAGCCCCCUCAGCUCCGCCAUGUCGUCCCCACCCCUGCACACCGAGGGGCCCUUUGGCCACCCCACCAUCCCCGAGGAGAAUGGAGAGAACGCAUCUAACAGCACGCUGCCCUUGACUCAGACGCCUACAGGAGGGCGCUCCCCUGAGCCCUGGGGCCGGCCAGAAUUCCCCUUUGGGGGACUGGAGACCCCAGCAAUGAUGUUCCCCCACCAGCUGCCACCCUGUGAUGUGCCCGAGAGUCUGCAGCCCAAGGCCGGCCUCCCCCGAGGACUGCCCCCCACCUCCUUGCAGGUGCCCGCGGCCUACCCGGGCAUCCUGUCUCUGGAGGCACCGAAGGCUUGGGCAGGCAAGUCGCCCGGCAGGGGCCCUGUCCCAGCACCCCCCGCCGCCAAGUGGCAGGACAGACCUAUGCAACCUCUGGUAAGCCAAGGGCAGCUGCGACAUACAAGCCAAGGCAUGGGCAUACCCGUGCUGCCUUACCCCGAGCCGGCCGAGCCGGGGGCGCACGGCGGCCCCAGCACAUUUGGCCUGGACACCCGGUGGUACGAGCCCCAGCCCCGGCCCCGGCCCAGCCCCCGGCAGGCCAGGCGCGCCGAGCCCGGUUUACAUCAAGUGGUGCUACAGCCUUCCAGGCUCUCACCUCUGACCCAAAGCCCCCUCAGCUCCCGCACCGGCUCCCCUGAGCUCGCCGCCCGCGCCCGGCCUCGCCCAGGCCUCCUGCAGCAGGCAGAGAUGUCAGAGAUCACCCUGCAGCCGCCGGCUGCAGUCAGCUUCUCUCGCAAGUCCACGCCGUCCACGGGCUCCCCGUCCCAGAGCAGCCGCAGCGGGAGUCCCAGCUACCGGCCCGCCAUGGGCUUCACCACACUGGCCACAGGCUACCCUUCCCCUCCACCCGGCCCCGCCCCUGCGGGGCCUGGGGACAGCUUGGACGUGUUUGGACAGACGCCUUCCCCUCGAAGGAUGGGGGAGGAAUUGCUCCGACCAGAGCCCCCACCACCCACGUUACCUACUUCAGGCUAUCUGGGCAGUGUUGUCGAGACAAGCCUCUCCUCAGCUCAAUAGGCAGCAUGAAGAAGCCUCAGUCGAGGAUGAGAAGGGGUGAAGAUGUGCCGUCCGCACCGGGAAGGUGUUCUCCCUCCCGCCUGGGCACCUGCCUCCUUUGCCUGCCUUCCCGCUUCCUUCCCAGCUGCUGCUGCACUGUGGGAUCUCUCUGGGUAGACGGGCAUGUUGGGCCACUUUCUCACGAGAGGGCUGUGUGUGCACCUAGGGGGCCCUGUGUGGCCUUUUUAGCUCUGCCGUCAGGGGAUAUGGAAAGUCACGAGGUUGACCCUGACCUGAACUUUGAGGGAGCCUUUUGAAACUUUAUGGACUAAAGGACUAUGAUGACAUUCCCCAAGGAAGAUGGAGUCACUGCAUUGCCAGUGAAUGCAGGAAACCCGAGACCAGAGGUUUAUAUACUGCAAUUAGUCUGUAAGUCUCCUCUUCCCGCCUCGCUGCCAAGAUAUUUGAUGUUGGGGAGAAGAGGGACCCUCUAACAAUUUUGUUUUUUGAUCUCAGACCGCUUGCUGACCUGCUGGGACUUCAUUUGCCCUCCCAGCACUGUCUGUCCUACCUCUUUUAAUCAGGAUUUUCCAAAACCUGAUUGCAGUGGAGCUAGGGGAGAAGUUGGGGGGUUCAGGAGAAGAGUGAGGCACGUCCAUCCACCAUGGCACCAGAGCGCCCCUGAGUCUCCAGUCACAUGCUAAUGCCAGUGCUGGUUGGGAAGACAGGGUGACCUGUCUCUGUCUCUUUCCCCUUCAUUCCUCAGGCUCCCAGCUGGGUUACUUUGAGAAGAUACGGUAUUGAGAACAUGUCUCCUAGGUUUUCUUCUUUUACAACUCUUUAAAGAUUCUCUCCAGUACGCCCCGAGUGUCACACACUUCCCCUUCUCUCAGCUCUCUUGGCACCCUUGCCUUCCUGGGCUGCUCCCGGGCUGUGGCCAGACUGGGGACCCUGUCCUAACUGCGCAGUUGAUCCACCAGGCAACUGACAAUCAGGGUGGAGGAAGAGAGCCCAGUAGACGUGGUCUUCUGUUCCAACAACCUCGUUUCUCUGCCGAAUCUGAAAAUACGGAGGUUCACCACCUUCUUGUUACAGACGGCGAGGGCUCUGGGAGGCCGCCAGAUUCCGUUGCUCUGCUGUCACCCCCUGCCACCCCUCCUGUUCUCUGACAUGGCUGAGGAGAGCUCACUGCUCUGAGAGUGCUGGUGUGUGACAAGUGUUCCUUGCUGUUAGCCGCUGCUGUUCCAUGGGAAUCUUGCGGCUGAGGAGAAGCAGCUGGCAAGGCUGGGUUUUUUUGCAGGCUGUCUCACUGGGGGUUGUGUUUCUCACUUAGCACCCCCUUUUCUGGAGAUGGAGGAUGGUUCACUGGGAUGGGAGCUGCUUGCCCUCCUGCUCUACUUUGCCCUUUUACCUUCCGUUCAAAGGUCUUGAUGGUGGUGAUUUCGAGGAACUCCAGAGGCUGAGUCUUGUGUCUCUGACACUGAAUGCAUCCCAGCUUGAGUUACGUGAGAAGGGGCUUACUAGUAAAAGUCUCUCUCUCCCUUUGCUGGGGUCUUCUGGUUGCUCUGCAGGUUGGUUCCCAUCCGAGGUGGGCCAUUCCCCUGGAGCUUUCUGCUGGGUUUUCUUCUUUCCAGGAGCAGCCGAAAGGCGGGUGUCAUGGAGCCAUCGUGGGCACCUCAGGCUCUGUAGGACUGGACUCUUUCCUUCUAUGGGUCAGCUACUCGGCUUUCUUCCAGCCCCUCUUCCAAAGCCUCACACAUCUGGGAGCUGACCUGUGCCUCUUCUGGUUAUCCCUUCCAGAACACUUCCACCUGCACCCGGGAACGCUGCUGCACCUGAGAGGCUGGAGGCUCUGAAAUACCAACGGAUAAAGAAGCCCAAAAAGUCAUCCAAGGGCUCUUUAAAGUCGAAGAAACGAUCCGAUGGUUCUGCCUCCCAGGCUCAGCAGCUUCCCAACUCUCAGGUUCUGUGGCCCGACGAAGCUGUCUGCCUCCGAAAGAAGAAGAGACACUCUCGU